rnacentral:rRNA from 1 species
UGGGGAAUUUUGGACAAUGGGCGAAAGCCUGAUCCAGCAAUGCCGCGUGUGUGAAGAAGGCCUUCGGGUUGUAAAGCACUUUUGUCCGGAAAGAAAUCCUUGGCUCUAAUACAGUCGGGGGAUGACGGCNCCGGAAGAAUAAGCACCGGCUAACUACGUGCCAGCAGCCGCGGUAAUACGUAGGGUGCAAGCGUUAAUCGGAAUUACUGGGCGUAAAGCGUGCGCAGGCGGUUUGCUAAGACCGAUGUGAAAUCCCCGGGCUCAGCCUGGGAACUGCAUUGGUGACUGGCAGGCUAGAGUAUGGCAGAGGGGGGUAGAAUUCCACGUGUAGCAGUGAAAUGCGUAGAGAUGUGGAGGAAUACCGAUGGCGAAGGCAGCCCCCUGGGCCAAUACUGACGCUCAUGCACGAAAGCGUGGGGAGCAAACAGGAUUAGAUACCCUGGUAGUCCAGCGCCCUAAACGAUGUCAACUAGUUGUUGGGGAUUCAUUUCCUUAGUAACGUAGCUAACGCGUGAAGUUGACCGCCUGGGGAGUACGGUCGCAAGAUU